rnacentral:rRNA from 1 species
AGAGUUUGAUCCUGGCUCAGAUUGAACGCUGAGCGGCAGGCUUAACACAUGCAAGUCGAGGGGUAUAGUUCUUCGGAACUAGAGACCGGCGCACGGGUGCGUAACGCGUAUGCAAUCUACCUUUUACAGCGGGAUAGCCCAGAGAAAUUUGGAUUAAUACCACAUAGUAUUAUGAAAUGGCAUCAUUUUAUAAUUAAAGUCACAACGGUAAAAGAUGAGCAUGCGUCCCAUUAGUUAGUUGGUAAGGUAACGGCUUACAAGACUACGAUGGGUAGGGGUCCUGAGAGGGAGAUCCCCCACACUGGUACUGAGACACGGACCAGACUCCUACGGGAGGCAGCAGUGAGGAAUAUUGGACAAUGGGCGCAAGCCUGAUCCAGCCAUGCCGCGUGCAGGAUGACGGUCCUAUGGAUUGUAAACUGCUUUUAUACGAGAAGAAACCACUCUACGUGUAGAGUCUUGACGGUAUCGUAAGAAUAAGGAUCGGCUAACUCCGUGCCAGCAGCCGCGGUAAUAGGAGGAUCCAAGCGUUAUCCGGAAUCAUUGGGUUUAAAGGGUCCGUAGGCGGCUUUAUAAGUCAGUGGUGAAAUCUCCCCGCUCAACGGGGAAACGGCCAUUGAUACUGUAAGGCUUGAAUUAUUAGGAAGUAACUAGAAUAUGUAGUGUAGCGGUGAAAUGCUUAGAGAUUACAUGGAAUACCAAUUGCGAAGGCAGGUUACUACUAAUACAUUGACGCUGAUGGACGAAAGCGUGGGUAGCGAACAGGAUUAGAUACCUGGUAGUCCACGCCGUAAACGAUGGAUACUAGCUGUUGGGCGCAAGUUCAGUGGCUAAGCGAAAGUGAUAAGUAUCCCACCUGGGGAGUACGUUCGCAAGAAUGAAACUCAAAGGAAUUGACGGGGGCCCGCACAAGCGGUGGAGCAUGUGGUUUAAUUCGAUGAUACGCGAGGAACCUUACCAAGGCUUAAAUGUAGAUUGACCGGUUUGGAAACAGACUUUUCGCAAGACAAUUUACAAGGUGCUGCAUGGUUGCGUCAGCUCGUGCCGUGAGGUGUCAGGUUAAGUCCUAUAACGAGCGCAACCCCUGUUGUUAGUUGCCAGCGAGUCAAGUCGGGAACUCUAACAAGACUGCCAGUGCAAACUGUGAGGAAGGUGGGGAUGACGUCAAAUCAUCACGGCCCUUACGCCUUGGGCUACACACGUGCUACAAUGGCCGGUACAGAGAGCAGCCACUGGGCGACCAGGAGCGAAUCUACAAAACCGGUCACAGUUCGGAUCGGAGUCUGCAACCGACUCCGUGAAGCUGGAAUCGCUAGUAAUCGGAUAUCAGCCAUGAUCCGGUGAAUACGUUCCCGGGCCUUGUACACACCGCCCGUCAAGCCAUGGAAGCUGGGGGUGCCUGAAGUCGGUGACCGCAAGGAGCUGCCUAGCUUAACACAGUGAUUCAUGACUGGGGUGAAGUCGUAACAAGGUAACC